rnacentral:rRNA from 1 species
GGCUCAGGACGAACGCUUGGCGGCGUGCCUAAUACAUGCAAGUCGAGCGGGGUUACUGCGUCAGAUUCCUUCGGGAAGUACAAGAUGCUUUAACCUAGCGGCGGACGGGUGAGUAACGCGUGGGCAACCUACCCUAAAGCCUGGGAUAACACCGGGAAACCGGUGCUAAGAGCGGAUACCUUUCGGGGGAGGCAUCUUCUCCGAAAGAAAGGUUACGCUUUAGGAUGGGCCCGCGUCCCAUUAGCUAGUUGGUGAGGUAACGGCNCACCAAGGCUGCGAUGGGUAGCCGGCCUGAGAGGGUGGACGGCCACACUGGGACUGAGACACGGCCCAGACUCCUACGGGAGGCAGCAGUAGGGAAUAUUGCGCAAUGGGCGAAAGCCUGACGCAGCGACGCCGCGUGAGUGACGAAGGCCUUCGGGUUGUAAAACU